rnacentral:tRNA from 1 species
GCGAUCGUAGUCUAGCCUGGUCAGGACUUUGCCCCUCCAAGGCAAAGACCCGGGUUCAAAUCCCGGCGAUCGCA